rnacentral:lncRNA from 10 species
CAGGCUUGCACCAAAACAUCAGAUCUUCCUGGGUCUUGAGAUAGCUAGUUUUCAGACUGCAACUACACCAUCAUCUCUCCUGGUUCUCAGACCUUCAGACUUAGACUGAAACUUACAUAAUCAGCUCUCCUGGUCUCCAGCUUGCUGACAGCAGACUUUAGGACUUGUUAGACUCCACAGUGAAAGAUCACUCUGACUGCUACAUGGAAAAUGUGCUGGGGAGAAACAAGACUGCAGGAAAUAAGAGCAGUGAACAAGCUCUUGCUGUAAUUCAAGUCAGGUGUAGAAGCUGGAGCUGGAGCAGCCAUUCUGAACUAUGUCGAAAAUCUACCUGGAAAUAAAAAGUUGACUCACCGAUUCACACCAUUUCCAUUUGUCUUGGUCUGGCUUUGGUGUCGGGGCAUUUCCAGUCUCAUAAAAUGACUUUGCGUAACACAUGGAAACUAAUGGUGUUCUACAAUUGCUGAAGCAAGUGUAACACUAAAGGUUGCAUUAUUUUUUGGGAAGAUUGGAUGUGCCCUCCCAAAUACCCCUUAGAAAUUGCUGGUGUGAAAUUUUCAUGUGAACAAUUUCUGAAUAAAAUUUAUUAUGAAUUCUCAGUUAGAC